rnacentral:rRNA from 1 species
GAGGAAUAUUGGGCAAUGGGCGAAAGCCUGACCCAGCCAUGCCGCGUGAAGGAUGAAUGCCCUAUGGGUUGUAAACUUCUUUUGUACGGGACAAAACUCUCGAACGUGUUCGGGAUUGAUGGUACUGUAUGAAUAAGCAUCGGCUAACUCCGUGCCAGCAGCCGCGGUAAUACGGAGGAUGCGAGCGUUAUCCGGAUUCAUUGGGUUUAAAGGGUGCGUAGGCGGAAUAAUAAGUCAGCGGUGAAAGCCUGCGGCUUAACCGUAGAAUUGCCAUUGAUACUGUUAUUCUUGAGUAUAGUUGAAGUAGGCGGUAUGUGUAAUGUAGCGGUGAAAUGCUUAGAUAUUACACAGAACACCAAUUGCGAAGGCAGCUUACUAAGCCGUUACUGACGCUGAGGCACGAAAGCGUGGGGAGCAAAC